rnacentral:tRNA from 1 species
GAAGUAAAAAAAUUUACAUUUAAUUUCGACUUAAAUUUAGAGAUAAAUCUCC